GUGCUCAUUUCGGCCACACUUACACUACAACUGGAACAAUACAGAGAAGAUUAGCAAGGUCCCUGUGUAAGGAUGACAUGCACAUUAUUAAAGCAUUCAUAUUUUUA